rnacentral:lncRNA from 1 species
CCUUUCUCUAUCACCAGGUAAUUGGAAGCAGAAAAAAACCAGUCCCUGACCCCUGCUCUGCUUUAAGCUCCUUGUCACUGCUCAUAGCAGCCCUGUUCUGUUCUCCCCAACGCCGCCACCCAAAUCCUGUUCCCCUGGGAGAAGAAACCCUACCCCCACCCGCCCCUUUCAGCUCUGCCGCCAGGAGACUGGCUUGUCUUGGGGAAGUCACAGGUUUCAUUUUGUCACUUAGAAGCUGUUCCAGCCAGGAAGGGAGCCCAAGUUGACUUGAAGCCAGACCCUUAAUUGGAUUGGGUUCCUAGGGAGGCCAUUAGCUCUCUCUGCAGCUCUGGAGAGAGGAAGCACUUCCUCCCCCACCCGGCUGCACCCCUACUCAUUGCAGCUGAAUCCUGGAUGGCCUUCCACCCAAAUAAGGUCAGUGUUAUGUAUCCAGUCUCUUCCAUCAAGAGGACCGACUACUGACACAUCAGCAAAUCCAGGAGAAGUCACUUACACAAGAAACUGAUAAUCCUCAAGUCCCAGCUCCAAGGAUCCACGCCCAGUGGCUCUUCACAACCCAACCGGAACCAAGAGAGAACAAGCUUGUCCCUGGCCCAGACCAAAUCCUACUUGCUCAUGUACACACCCGUGACUAUGCCCAAACGGGCAUGGUCAGCGCCACGGUGCCUCUGGUAGGUCUCCUUCUACAAUCCAGUUCCUCUAUAAGAGCAGCCACUGAUCUUAACCACUAAACCAUCACUCCAGCCCCCAAACAGCUACUUUUAAAAAUCAGUGCUGUUCUUCCGUUGUGUAGGUCCCGGGAUUGAACUCAUAUUGUCAGGUUCAUCAGCAAGCACUAUACCUGAGCCAUCUCACUGGCUAGAGAAAUGAUUAGUCUAGAGGAUUCUGCCUGGAGGAAUGUAUUAAUCCAUCCAGGAUUAACAGAUCAAUGAGUCACCUUGGUGGUAAGUCUGUUAUAAAAGCCAGUUUGAGCUGGGUGUGAUGAUGCAAGCCUGUAAUCUUAACACUUAAGAAAGUGGAGACUUGUGAUUAUAAGGAGUUCAAGGCUAGCCUUGGCUAUAUGAUGAGUUCAAGGCCAGCCUAAGAUACAUGGGAAGAUCCUAUCUCAAAACAAAAGUUGUCUUACAAUGUCCACACACGCC